UUUUAAAUGUUGCAUAUUUGAAAACAGAUAUCACAGAUAUUUUAUUAAACCACCCUUCCUUCUGUCCACCCGCUCUUCCAUUUGUCCACCGGAUAUUUCUGAUUUGGAACCCUUUUGUCCAUCAAACCGUGCCAAUAAUCACCAUCUGACUCUAUCACUUCCUCUUUGGUGUUCCUCUUUAUUUCUUCUUUCUUCACCAUUUAUAGUUUCUCCUUCAAUCACCACUUUCUCUCUUCCUCCGUUCUUCUUCUUCACACAUUCUGUACCACCUUCUUCUUCUUCUUAUCUUCUUCAUCUGUUUUUUUAAAUUCAUAUGUUGAAAACAAGUUGAUGUGAAUCGGAAUCAGAAUUGGAAUGGAAAGAGAUGGAAAGAGAAACAAAAGAUAAACAUAAAAAACAAGUUGAAAACAAAAAAUGGAAAGAGAUGGAAUCGGAAUCUACCGAUGAAGGGAUGUGAUAAGGUGGUUUCCGAGAAGGUUAAGAAGACACACGAUGGAGACAACAUCAAGUGAGGUUAAUUUUUCUGCAAGAGUUUAAGUUUGGUGCUCUCUGGUUCGGAGUAGCUUGGAGCUUAGCUUCGUCGGUGUUUUGUUGACAUGGUUUUUUCUCUUGCUGGAAGCUCUAUAUAUUCAAGUAGUUGUAGCAUUAUUGUUAUGUGUUUUUAGGGUGGUUUAGAUCUUUUAUUUCAUUGCAUUUGAUUCAGGAGAAGUGUUAGUUCUUUCUGGUUCGUUAUUGGGUGUGAUAAGGCUUUGGAAUUUGGAAGAAUAACCUAUUUGACCGAUAUAUGCUGGUUUUAAUUUGUAGGCAGGACAAAUGAUGGAACAUGGAGCUACUUAUUCUCAUGCUGAAGAGAUUAUAAUUACGAUGAAUCUCGCUAAUUUAGAAGCUCAUAACUAUGAUGCCUGCUUCAAUAAGUAUUCAAAGAAGAAUUAUUCUGUUAGCUUUUGGAGCUAAAUUGGUUUUGAUAGACCCUGCAAAGGGCAUGAAAGGAGUUGUUCUGGAAGCAGAAGAGAUAUUAUGGAAGCAGAAGAGAUUAUUGGAAUCUAAACUAAAUACAUCACACUUAUCUUUAUCAUCAGAUGUUACACUGGAUCCUCUUCUUUCCGUUAGAAAGGAUCUUAUAGGGAAUUUGAAGUUGCAGUACUUGGCUUAGCUUGGAAUUAGCUCAGGGAUAACAAGCCGGGAUAUGGGAAGCUUCCUGCACCAGCCUUAUUCAACUGGAAAUGCGGUUUUUGAAUUGAUUUUCAAGCCUGUUUGGCGGGUCCAAAUGAGGAAUUUAGGAGAUGGGAACAUGGCCAUGUGGGUGAAUGAAUAAGGAGGCUAAAGGAGGAUGUUUGAGCUUAGUCAAGAUGACAUGGGGAUGAAGCUUGGUGGUCCCACUUGCAACGCCUGAAGCAAAGAGUUCCUCUUGUGUAUUUUUUGUUGUUAUACAGUAAGAGUGGUGAUGUAAUAAAAUAGUGAUACAUGAUGAGAUGGAUACACAAUGUAAAUGAUAUUGAAAUAUGGGUUAUUAAAUGGCUGACUUGAAAUUGAAAGGA